rnacentral:lncRNA from 1 species
UUACGGACAAAGUCUGAUAGAGCCGCUGCGGCCAAAACCCAACAAUCUUUACGAUGAGCUCCUUCCCGCUUUUCGUUUCAUGUAAUUUUUUAAUCAUUGUGUUCACCGUCAUUUUCUAUACAAGUUAGCCGAAGAAGGAACCCCAGCCGCAAAGGAGGAUCGGCGGAGUUGUCGUACUUGGAGACCCCCCUGUCAGUAGGUUUGGUUUUUUUGUGAUUUUUUGACCAACUGAUGCCCUCUAACAUGUUUUUCUGCAGGGAUACAUAUAAAAUCAACCAAAACUGACCACAAUCGGCCAAGCCGAGGCGAACUGCUGCCAUGGGCGGCGGAGCCGAGCCCGAAGCAUGACGAUGCUGUCGUGUCAGAAUCCCAAAAUUGGUCGAAAUGAGUUUUGGACACUGAUUUGGGAUUUUUGCGGUAUUUUUAGGUACGUGACGAGUGUUGUGGAUUUCACAAAAAAAAUUCAAGAAAUCUAAGACCGAUUAAGAGGCGUAGUAGACUAUGCAACAUCUUGAAACACCGAUUUAGGUAAGGAUACCUCGCCCUAUUUUCCAUUACGGUAAAAUGAAGCUUAACGAUAUAUAAUUUUGUAUUUAUGUGAAAA